GUUGACCUCGGAUCAGGUAGGAAUACCCGCUGAACUUAAGCAUAUCAAUAAGCGGAGGAAAAGAAACCAACAGGGAUUGCCUUAGUAACGGCG
rnacentral:rRNA from 1 species